CCAGACUCCUACGGGAGGCAGCAGUGAGGAAUAUUGGUCAAUGGGCGCGAGCCUGAACCAGCCAAGUCGCGUGAGGGAAGACGGCCCUACGGGUUGUAAACCUCUUUUGCCGGGGAGCAACGGGCGCCACGUGUGGCGCCACUGAGAGUACCCGGAGAAAAAGCAUCGGCUAACUCCGUGCCAGCAGCCGCGGUAAUACGGAGGAUGCGAGCGUUAUCCGGAUUUAUUGGGUUUAAAGGGUGCGUAGGCGGGAUGCCAGGUCAGCGGUAAAAGACGGGGGCUCAACCUGCGUCCGCCGUUGAAACUGGCGUUCUUGAGUGGGCGAGAAGUACGCGGAAUGCGUGGUGUAGCGGUGAAAUGCAUAGAUAUCACGAAGAACUCCGAUUGCGAAGGCAGCUUACCAGUCUGCGACUGACGCUCAGGCACGAAAGUGUGGGUAUCGAACAGGAUUAGAUACCCCCGUA
rnacentral:rRNA from 1 species